UGGGGAAUAUUGCACAAUGGGCGCAAGCCUGAUGCAGCCAUGCCGCGUGUAUGAAGAAGGCCUUCGGGUUGUAAAGUACUUUCAGCGGGGAGGAAGGUGUUGAGGCUAAUAACCUCAGCAAUUGACGUUACCCGCAGAAGAAGCACCGGCUAACUCCGUGCCAGCAGCCGCGGUAAUACGGAGGGUGCAAGCGUUAAUCGGAAUUCCUGGGCGUAAAGCGCACGCAGGCGGUCUGUCAAGUCGGAUGUGAAAUCCCCGGGCUCAACCUGGGAACUGCAUUCGAAACUGGCAGGCUAGAGUCUUGUAGAGGGGGGUAGAAUUCCAGGUGUAGCGGUGAAAUGCGUAGAGAUCUGGAGGAAUACCGGUGGCGAAGGCGGCCCCCUGGACAAAGACUGACGCUCAGGUGCGAAAGCGUGGGGAGCAAACA
rnacentral:rRNA from 1 species